AUUCAUCAGGAAUAUUGGCCUGUAGUUCUGUUUUUUUACUGGGUCUCUCUCUGGUUUAGGAAUCCAAGUAAUACUGGCUUCAUAGAAUGAGUCUGGAAGUUUUCCUUCCCUUUCUAUUUCCAAUGACAGCGUUUCAAGAGGCCCCAUAUCCUGCAGCCAGAGGACAAAUAGGACUGAAAAUUGGGCCCAGGACCCGGGUAGGAUUACAAAGCAGGUUGAAAAGCCCAGAGGGUCUUCCCAUGAAGGGAAGGGCCUCGCAGUGAAGAAUGGGACCCCAAGACCUGGGAUGGACGCAGCUGGAUUGGGGUCUGGGAUCAUGCAGAAAAGGAGGUGCAGGCCUCCCCACCAGGUCCAGAGCCCAUCCUGCGGAUGUGCUGGCCAAGCCUGAGGGAAACACAAAAAGGAGACGACAACCCAUGAAGGCAUAAUCGUGCCAUCGUCACACACCAACAGAGUGCACUUGGUCUUUGGGAACGCGUUGGAUCUUUUUUAUGGCCACAGGACAGAACAGUGUGUGAAUGUACUGCAGGUUUGGAAUGCGGAAUGUGGCUUGUCAAGGCCUGCGUGUGCUCAGCAGUUUGGCUGGUUGAUUAAAGCAUUAACGACACGUAGGCUACAGUUCCUCUGCUGACGUGACUCGAGACGUGUGCGUCACUAGCCUGUCAUCAGGGAGCUUGCUGUGUGGGACCUGAAUAUUUUGAAAUGUACUGAGUUGUGACCCAAGGCUCAGCAGACGAAUCUCCCUCCAACCCACCCAAAAGCAAAAGGAGGGCCAGGAGCUCAUCAUGACAGUUCUCAAACACAAGACUAGAAGAACCAAGAACAGCAAAAAGGGGGAACUGUGGGGGGUAAGCUUAGGAAUCCCCCGGGCUUACACCAAUGGGUUAACAAGGCACAGAGAAGUACGAAGCUAUAGGAUGCUCACCCCCGAGUUUGGGUAAACAAGACAAGGCAACCGAGAAUAGGGGGGUAUAGAGGCCCCCGAUGCAUAGGUAUAUGAAAUAAACAAGAUUAGGCGUUCAGGGCAGAAGCACCCCCAAUUUAGUACGAUAGCAGCUUUCACGGGAGAAUAGGACCAAGCUGGGUAAAUUGGCGAACUGGACUAUGGACCCCUGCACUGCAGGCGUAGCGGCCCAGAGCGGAGAUGGUUAACGAAAGCAAAGGUGCCUUGUCCACCCCGAGGUCACGUGUCCUCCCUGCCUCAUCCCCGAGAUAAACAGAGAUAAACAGAGGUGCUGCCUCAGGUCCGCUGUAAACAACCUUCCUCCCCACUGCCUGGCGCCCGGAUUUUGUUUUGUGUUAACCCAAACCCCUAACGCCGAGGAUCCUCAAGACCCCCUUUCCCUCACGUCCACAAGUGAAUGUUCACAGAUUCCUCGUCUCUUUGUGCACGUCCAUCGCCGUGUUUGUAAGCCUUCUGAUCCUGAUACAAACGGGGCAAGGGCCCCUAUUCAGGUCUUGUCUUUUCCUGGACAUUAGCCACCUCUCACUUUAAUCCUGAGUCCUGCUCUCUUGCUGGCCAAGAGAGAACUUUAGACUUGGAGUCUAUGACACAGGCCAAGGAGCAGAACCAGGUCAGGAGGAAGAGGACAGGGGCCUGGUGUGGGGGGACCUUCCGUGCGAUGCUUUAUAACAAUGAUGAUGCUGGGCAUGUGCGUGUGCUCAGGUGACCAGGGGUGCACGUGCACACACACCUGCAGCCUACACCUGGGGCUCUGUGCAUGACGGCAGACCAGUCUCCAGCCUUGGCUGAGUCUGUCCAGGGGGCUGGUCCAGCCUCACCUGUGACAUCACCUGUGAUGGAGAGGCCUGGUUUGUGCCUGGGGAGGGCUCCCAUCUGCUGGGUGUAGGAGAGUGGACAUUGGAGGAGGUCAGUGUGGACCUGGCCCUCAAGGAGCCUCGGGUGGGGGGUCGAUCUCCUUACACACCUGCUUAGGGGAUCAGGGGAGGGAAGGUAAGCAGGGCCAGGAGGCUGCUCUGAUGACUGGAGAACAGAUGUGCCUGAGGGGUCUGAGCCAGGGAAGAGGGUGCCCAGAGGGCAGGGGGCAAUGCUGUGGAGAUGGGCUGAGGACCAGGAGUCCCAGCCUCGGUGGGGACAGGGGCUGGUGCUAGGACAUCACGGGGAGGCCUGCUGGGACACAGGCAGGUGGACUAGGGAGCUGAGGAGAGCCGCCUUUCUAGGGGACCCUUCAGGCUGCUGCCCAACAAGAUGUUAGCACUUCCAGAUCUGGCUGUAGGAGGCAGUGGGUCAGUACUGUUGUGUGGACAUGUCCUCCACUGUGCAGGGCUGCCCUUGGCCGGGUCUGACGAGGGGGUGUCUGAGCCAGUGGAGGCUGGCACAGCCUUCCUGUGUGUCCCCCCCACCACAUCGCUGGCAUGGCCUCCACAUGGCAUCUGCCUCUACCCCACUUCUAGGGCCACCUCUCCAUGCUCGAACAGCGGGGGGAUGGUGUCCUGCUACCUGCUUGGCCUGAGGUGUCCACCUCUGUCCCUCCAGGGCCUUGCCUGGGUGUUGUCCCCUGAUGAGGUGGUGAGGGGGCCUGAUAGCCAGCCUCUGAGGGGAGAGUGAGCCCUGGACCUCCAGUGUGAGCCCCCACCCUAGUGGGCCUCUGUCCCCUCUGCCCUACAGGUGGCCUGCAGUCAGGGCCUGCUGUGGGCAUGUGCGGGUCAGAUUCUCUGGGCGCCCCAGCCCAGCUCCCACUUCUGGGUCUACCUGGCUUCUGAGGUGCUGACUGUUCUCCCAAGCCAGUGGGGGUCCUGGGGCUUGGGGAGGCUCAGAUGUCCCUGGGAGGGUUGUGUCUGGGAUGACCAGCCUCCCCAGGGGAGGCCCCUGCUCUGAGCUCAGCAAUGGGGCAGGUCUUGGUGGGAAAUGGCUGCUCCUUGGGGGCCCGGCAGGAGUGACACCUACCUCCCACCCCUCCUAGUCCAGCACAUGGACUGUGGACAUGAGGACAGGCUUCAGGGGGACAGGUAUCAGGGUAUCCAAAGCCCUGAGUGCAGGGAAAAUGUGUGCACACUCCAGGUGCCCACCAGGCUGGGGCAGGGUCAUCCUGGCUGGGUGGCACAGACCCUUGGCUGCAGCCCCAGGACCCAGCCCUUCAGCUCCUCUGGGACUGCCCCCCCCCACAGCCCUGGCCCCGUGCCCAUGUGUG